rnacentral:rRNA from 1 species
UACGUAGGGUGCAAGCGUUGUCCGGAAUUAUUGGGCGUAAAGAGCUCGUAGGCGGCUUGUCACGUCGCCUGUGAAAACUCGGGGCUCAACCCCGAGCCUGCAGUCGAUACGGGCAAACUAGAGUGCUGUAGGGGAGACUGGAAUUCCUGGUGUAGCGGUGAAAUGCGCAGAUAUCAGGAGGAACACCGGUGGCGAAGGCGGGUCUCUGGGCAGUAACUGACGCUGAGGAGCGAAAGCAUGGGGAGCGAACAGG